rnacentral:rRNA from 1 species
ACGCUGGCGGCGUGCCUAAUACAUGCAAGUCGAACGGUCGUUUCUAUGGAAGCUGCUUCCACUGAGAAGAUAGUGGCGAACGGGUGAGUAACACGUGGGUAACCUGCCCAUAAGAGGGGGAUAACAUCCGGAAACGGGUGCUAAUACCGCAUAGUUUUCUUGAUCGCAUGAUUGAGAAAGGAAAGACGGCCUUUGUGCUGUCGCUUAUGGAUGGACCCGCGGCGUAUUAGUUAGUUGGUGAGGUAAUGGCUCACCAAGACGAUGAUACGUAGCCGACCUGAGAGGGUGAUCGGCCACAUUGGGACUGAGACACGGCCCAAACUCCCACGGGAGGCAGCAGUAGGGAAUCUUCCGCAAUGGACGAAAGUCUGACGGAGCAACGCCGCGUGAGUGAAGGUAAAGGGUUUUCGGAUCGUAAAACUCUGUUGUCAGAGAAGAACAAGUUGGAGAGUAACUGCUCCAGCCUUGACGGUAUCUGACCAGAAAGCCACGGCUAACUACGUGCCAGCCGCCGC